rnacentral:rRNA from 1 species
UUGGAGGGCAAGUCUGGUGCCAGCAGCCGCGGUAAUUCCAGCUCCAAUAGCGUAUAUUAAAGUUGCUGCAGUUAAAAAGCUCGUAGUUGAAUUUCGGGACCAUCAUGUCGGUCGUGCCUCGGUACGUACUGGUAUUGUUGGUUUCUCCCUUCUGACGAACCAUGAUGUCAUUUAUUUGGUGUUGUGGGGAAUCAGGACUGUUACUUUGAAAAAAUUAGAGUGUUUAAAGCAGGCUCACGCUUGAAUACAUUAGCAUGGAAUAAUGAAAUAGGACGUUUGAUUCUAUUUUGUUGGUUUCUAGGAUCGACGUAAUGAUUAAUAGGGAUAGCUGGGGGCAUUAGUAUUCAAUUGUCAGAGGUGAAAUUCUUGGAUUUAUUGAAGACUAACUACUGCGAAAGCAUUUGCCAAGGAUGUUUUCAUUAAUCAAGAACGAAAGUUAGGGGAUCGAAGACGAUCAGAUACCGUCGUAGUCUUAACCACAAACUAUGCCGACUAGGGAUCGGAUGAUGUUAAUUUCUUAAUGACUCAUUCGGCGCCUUACGGGAAAC